GAGGGUGUAGCUUGGAGGUAGAGUGUGUGCUUAGCAUGCGUGAGGGCCUGGGUUCAAUCCCCAGUACCUCCA
rnacentral:tRNA from 1 species